rnacentral:lncRNA from 1 species
CAUGGCCGGCCAUAGCAAGAAAAAAGGAAGAAAAGAAGAACAAAAACCCUAGAGUGAAAAUUCAAGAGAAAAUUGGUGGAUUUCAAGUAAUCAAGCAAUCAAAGGUAAAAUUUCUUGAUUUUGACUUGUGAUCUACCUUUCCCAUGUAUUAUUUUGCAUUUUUCAUGGUUGAAUCACAAGAUAUCAUGAAGGAUUCAUGGUGACCCAAUUUAGAGAGAGAAGAUUGGAUGAUCUAUUUAGUUAGAUUUUGAGAUAUUUUAGUGUUUAUAGUUGAUUUAUCAUAUUUGGAAGGAAAACAAGUAAGAAAAAUCACAUAUUCUUCAUGGAUUCUUCAUUGGCCGAAUUUCAUAAAGACAAUAUUGAAGAUGAAUCUGGUGAUGUCUUAUGUUAUUUAGUUAGAAUUUAAUGAAUUGUGGUGGUGGAAACCGAAAAUGGUAAUGUUUAGCAUGAAAAAUUGUAUACCCUUCAAGAACCUCCAUUGGCCGAAUCUUUCCUUGUAGAGUGUUGAUGGUGGAUUUGAUUUUAUUUCAAGUGAAUUGGUUAGGAAAUGAUGAAUUAUGGUGAGAAAAUCAAGUAGGAAAAAUCAUAGUGUUGAUGCACCCACCAUGGCCGAAUUUUCCAAGAGAAAAUGUGAGGAUGAUUUUUGCCAUAUUUCUAGUUAUUUAACUUGGGUUUAAUGGUUUGGAGAAUAGGAAGAAAAAUGGAGUUAAUUGAAGUCAAAUUGGACAUAUUGGCCAAUUAAUCGAGUGAUAGAUCGAAUUAGGCCAAUACAGUUUUAUUUAGGUACACAAUUGAAUUUGUGUAGAACACCGUGUUUAGACGAUAAUCUGAACAAUUUACAUCCCAUUUCAUGCAUUAGUAUAGAGCCUGAAUUGGUUUUAUAACAAUUUAGCACAAAUGUAGUAAAUGGCUUAUUGUACAUUAUGUCUAAGUGGUGAGCAUUCUGGCAAAAGUAAAAAAAUAGUACCCAAGAAUCAAGAAUCGGAGUACUCGAAAUUUGACUCCCGAAAUAGUGAGUAACCUUACUAUUAUCUUAAUUAUCUAAAGUGGUUUUUAUCCGAUUUUGUGAUUUUAUGGAAAAUGAGUUAAAUGGUAAAUCUUUGUGUUUUAUAAUUAAAAUGUGAUUUAAUGAAAUGAUUUUAUAACAUUAUCUUGAAAUGAAAUGAUGGUUUGAAAAUAGGGUAAUUGGAGACUGUUUUCAUGCGUUGUAAAUUCAUAGUUUAAAUCGAAUGACUUAUGACAAUAUUUGCAUGAAUGCCUAAAUUGGUAUUUGUGUUGAAAUAUAUGAACUGUGUAUUUAGCCUUGAGAUGCUGGAUUGUGAUAUAAUUGCCAUGUCAUGCUGUUGAAGUUUAUUGAAUUGGUGGGUUAUAAUUGGUCGCUGCAGUGGACGGGUUCUGUGGACCAGCCUAUUAAAGGGGCACGGUAACCCUAUUAUAUUCAUACCUUAGUAUGAGAGGCGCGGAUGGAUAACUCCUGAGAUUAACACUUUAGAGUUCACUUCACGCAAAACCACCACGUGAGGGUGAACUCAGCCAAUGCCAAGGAACGGCUAUGUUUUCAAAAUUAAAACAUGAUUUAUGCGUACAUAACUUUUUAACAACCUUGGGGGACUCAGUUGGGAUAGCCCUCGGCCAAGGUAUCCCUGAUAACUAAGUAUGAGAAUGAUUUUGGCACGAGCCAAAGUUUUAAGAAAUUCAUAAGCCAUGUUGAUUACUCGAUUUAUAUGAAUUGAUUUUAUUUGGUUGAAAUGAGUUGAAAGGUGAUGAAUUACAGUAUGUUAAACUAUUUUAUCUGUCUCCAUUUACUCAACUUUAGAUAUUUUAGAUGGUAUUUGUUUACUUACUGGGAUUAUAUAAUCUCACCACUCUCAUUUCCAUCCAUUUCAGGCUCAGGAUAGUUGGUAAAUAACUCAUUUCGUUGAGGGUUACAAUUAGACUUGCAUCCUAAAAAACUGUAGGUUUACCGCUUUUGAUACUUUUGAUCGUUGUGGGCCCACGUGUCACUGUAAAUUAAAUUUUAUACUUUGGUUAUCUGUAUUACAAUAUGUAUGAAUUUAUUUAACUUUUACGCUACAAAAAUUAUUUACCGAUAACUCUAUAAAUAUUGUUUUAUAAGAAAAUAGAAUAUUUUAUUGAAUAUUUUUAUUAUAUUCAAAUAGUCAUAAUUUCAUUUUAAAUGAAGGUUUUUGAUGUUUAAACUUAUUUUUGAAUAUGAAUUAUGUGUUUAUACUCGCAUACUACAUUUUUAGCUGGUUUUGAAAUUUUUGAAAAAAAUAACCAAAAUGCCCCUGUGAGAUAGAAAUAAUUUUUUUUAAUAUUAAUUUAAGUUGGAAAUAGCUUAAAAUCUUUUAGAACAUGAUAUUUGGCAACGGUUACUUAUAGGGAAAAUGAGAAACUGAUAUUAAAGCCUUGCGGGGUUCCGAUUGACGUUCCGGGUAAUGAGUGUCGAUCGGGAUACCGCGGCGGUUGUCACUGGCUCGAGGAGAAUACCGGGUCGUGACACAAUAUCAAUCAUUUCCAAUGAAUUUUCAAUUCAUAUGAAAAUGGCAACUCAAAGAGAAAUUCCAUAUCAAAAGAAUAUCAUCAUUUAGCACUUUUAAUUUAUUAUCAACUAUUCAUUCAGCAAACAUUCUUCCAAAUCACUAUCAAGCAAGUAUUUCAAGAGAUAUUCUUCAAAUUAUGUAUGAAACUAUCAAUUCAAGGAGAAUUUUCACAGCAAGAACAUAUCAUUAUCAAUGAAGCAUUACCAAAGCAUUAUGCACUUUGUUGCAAUCAUGUAAGAGAAUAUUAUGAUCAAAUAAGCACAAGC